rnacentral:hammerhead_ribozyme from 1 species
AUCUAGGUGACGAGUCUCAAACAAGACGAAAUGAGCAUCAUAUAU